rnacentral:lncRNA from 15 species
AGAGCUGCUCCCAGACGGGUGAAUCUCAUGGUGGACGAACCGACCCGGGUAGCCACACAGAUCCACCGACUGCUUUCUGACCUGCUGCACAAAUAGUUCUGAUGUUGAGCUCAGACAUUGGCUCCAGUCAGCCUUCUUCACAGCAGACAUGAAAUAGUAGGGUAAACACAGAGAUACUGAUACUGAUCCAUCAGGGGGCUGCUGUUGUGAAACUGUGUUUACCCUACUAUCUGCUGUGAAAAAGGUCUGUUAAGAAUAGGAACAUCCUCUUGUUGUGGACCAGAACCACAUAUCAGAACAUUUGGCACAUUUAAGAUACAGCAGAAAUAUUUCAAGUCUUAAAGUUGGAAGUGAACUUUAAAGAUGUUUCCUCAUCGCUGUCUGGCACCGACCGCACUGCACUGUUGGACUUUACCUGGGUAAUGAUUAACAGCUGCAGGCCUGACAGGCUCCAAUAUCUCAACUGAUCACAGUUUGUACAUUAUCUGCACACACACACACACACACACACACACACACUAACAAAGACACUUCAUAUAACAGUUGCAUGAUGGGACAGUGUUAGCUUACCGUGUCCGUAUAACUCCUGUAUCUCUGAGACGAUGGUGAUGUCGUGCUUUGGUUUGCAUGCUGUUAAAGGUUGUAAUGUGUGUGUUGGACACUAGGAGGCGCUACAGUCGGAGGAGCACUGCGGCUGCUUCCGACGGAUCCUCUGAGUCUGUGGUCGAUCAUCACGUUGGCAGGAUGAAGGUGUGCGUCCUCCUGAUGUGUGUGUGGAGUCUCUGCUGGAGGACAGAGGCCCAGUCCAGAUCGUAAGUCCACCUUGUUUCAUCUUUUACUCAUUAAUGCUAAAUGAUCUGAACACUGCAGGUCUGUGGAGGCUGUGGAGGCUGUGGGUCGGGGGUGCAGGGCCGUGCACAGACUCUGUGAGGGUCUGAAUGAGACAGCUUUACCACCCCGGUUAUAACGACCCAUAUUCAUUGUUUUUUAUAAAUAAACUUUCACUCAGAGUUUGUGUGACACCAAAAGUCAAUGUUGAAUCAUUUAAAGUCGAGAUUAAAUGAAAAAUCCUUUUUAACCCUUUAAUCACCAGUAAUACUGUAACUUUAUUUAACGUCUGACAAAAACAUUUACAAACACUUUCUCUGUAUUUUUAUAUAAAAUCCAAUCAUUGUGUCUUCCUGUGAAACUAAAUGUUUCGCGUGCUUACGUCAGCAACUAACUGAUUUCAACACAGAGCGAAGAUUUGUUUGUCUGAUUACAGUACAAACACAACUUUAUUAACACUGUACAAACACAACUUUAUUAACACUGUACAACACACAACUUUAUUAACACUGUACGAACACACAACUUUAUUAACACUGUACAAACACAACUUUAUUAACACUGUACAAACACAACUUUAUUAACACUGUACAAACACACAACUUUAUUAACACUGUACAAACACACAACUUUAUUAACACUGUACAGACAAAACUUUAUUAACACUGUACAAACACACAACUUUAUUAACACUGUACAAACACACAACUUUAUUAACACUGUACAAACACAACUUUAUUAACACUGUACAAACACACAACUUUAUUAUCACUGUACAAACACAACUUUAUUAACACUGUACAAACACAACUUUAUUAACACUGUACAAACACACAACUUUAUUAACACUGUACAAACACAACUUUAUUAUCACUGUACAAACACACAACUUUAUUAACACUGUACAAACACACAACUUUAUUAUCACUGUACAAACACACAACUUUAUUAACACUGUACAAACACAACUUUAUUAACACUUUACAAACACACAACUUUAAAUAGAUUAAAAAUGAUUUAUGAGUGCAUUUACAUUAGAAAUCCACCAUUAUAAUAUUUUUUGUGUUUGGAACAUAACUUCACUACGUUACACAUGUAAUAUACUGAUUUUACCCCAAAUCAUUAUCUUUUCCUGAACCUGACCAAGUAGAUAAUAUUAUCUAAUUAAAAGCUUUAUGAUAUUUACAUGUUUUGUUCUGCAAGAUAAACUUUACGUUAGGCUUCAGUCUAAGUCACAGUUUGCAAUCAGAAUCAGAAUCAGAAGGAGAUUUAUUGCCAGGUAGGUUUUUACACAUACGAGGAAUUUGUCUUGGUGCUUAAAAUAUACAAUCACACAAAAAAAUACAAGUUAUACAAAAAUCACACAAGAAUAAAG